AACAAUGAAGCGAGUGGCGAACUGGUGAGUAACACGUGGGAAUCUGCCCAGAAGCAGGGGAUAACACUUGGAAACAGGUGCUAAUACCGUAUAACAACAAAAUCCGCAUGGAUUUUGUUUGAAAGGUGGCUUCGGCUAUCACUUCUGGAUGAUCCCGCGGCGUAUUAGUUAGUUGGUGAGGUAAAGGCCCCCAAGACGAUGAUACGUAGCCGACCUGAGAGGGUAUCGGCCACAUUGGGACUGAACACGGCCCAAACUCCUACGGGAGGCACAGUAGGGAAUCUUCCACAAUGGACGAAAGU
rnacentral:rRNA from 1 species